rnacentral:rRNA from 1 species
GACGAACGCUGGCGGCGUGCUUAACACAUGCAAGUCGAACGGUGAAGCGCCUUCCUUUUUGGUGGGUGUGGAUGAGUGGCGAACGGGUGAGUAACACGUGAGUAACCUGCCCCCUUCUUCUGGAUAACCGCAUGAAAGUGUGGCUAAUACGGGAUAUUCUGGGUCUGUCGCAUGAUGGGUCUGGGAAAGAUAUUGUUUCGGUGGGGGAUGGGCUCGCGGCCUAUCAGCUUGUUGGUGGGGUGAUGGCCUACCAAGGCGGUGACGGGUAGCCGGCCUGAGAGGGUGGACGGUCACACUGGGACUGAGACACGGCCCAGACUCCUACGGGAGGCAGCAGUGGGGAAUAUUGCACAAUGGGCGCAAGCCUGAUGCAGCGACGCCGCGUGAGGGAUGGAGGCCUUCGGGUUGUGAACCUCUUUCGCCAGUGAAGCAGGCCUGCCUCGUUUGCGGGUGGGUUGACGGUAGCUGGAUAAGAAGCGCCGGCUAACUACGUG